rnacentral:rRNA from 1 species
UACGGAGGGGGCUAGCGUUGUUCGGAAUUACUGGGCGUAAAGCGCGCGUAGGCGGCUUUGUAAGUUAGAGGUGAAAGCCCAGGGCUUAACCCUGGAAUUGCCUUUAAGACUGCAUCGCUAGAAUCGUGGAGAGGUGAGUGGAAUUCCGAGUGUAGAGGUGAAAUUCGUAGAUAUUCGGAAGAACACCAGUGGCGAAGGCGACUCACUGGACACGGUAUUGACGCUGAGGUGCGAAAGCGUGGGGAGCAAACAGG